AAAGAUUGCCCACUGCAAAUAAUACUAAUGUUUUGGAGCAAAAUUCAAGUAAUUCCAACAUGAUUUUUUCUCAAGAACAAAUCCAAAAUCUGCUCACUCUAGCAAACAGCCUUUCCAGCUCAAACACAAAUUCUAAUGCAACUGCCAAUGUUGCAUCCAUCUCAGGAUCUCAGCAAAUGGAGGAUGAUUGGGCUUGCUGAAGUUCAAUCUGGUUUAUACCAUCUUCAACAAUUAUCUGCUCAAACAAAUAAAGAAAUGCUUUCUAGUUCAAUUGGUUUACCUUCUAGUUCUUUAGUUGAGUCUUGUACUGUUAAUUCUGAUCUAUGGCAUUUUCGUUUAGGCCAUAUUCCAAAUGCAAAAAUACAACUCAUAAAUAGUUCUGAUUCUUCUGUAAAGGCUAUUCAUAACAAAGUUUGUGAGAUCUGUCCAUUAGCUAAGCAGAAAAAGCUACCAUUUCCUAUAUCAAAUAGUCAAUCAAAUAAAGCUUUUCAAUUGGUUCACACUGACAUUUGGGGGCCUUUUUCCA